CCCGGGCCCGACCAGAAUCAAGAGGAGGCGGAGGGUCAUGCCUCUGGAAGACAAGAUGAAAAUUCUCGAGAAGCUGGAAGAAGGCGUGAGUAACACCGACGUGGGGCGCCUAUUUGGCGUCAACGAGUCAACCGUACGCACCAUUAAGAAAAACGAGAAGGCCAUCAGGGCCAGCAUGGAGAGUGUUUCGCCCGUCUGCUCCAAGGUGCUAUGCAUUCCCCGGGACGUCAACAUCGAGAAGAUGGAAACCGAGUUAACCUUUUGGGUGGAGGACCAGACCAUAGGGGGGCGGCCUCUGACGCUGAAGGCCAUCUGCAGCCAGGCCAAACGCAUUUACAAGCAGCUGGUGGAAACCACUGGCAACGGCAACCCGGAUAAGUUUCAUGCGAGCAAGGGAUGGUUUGAGAAGUUUAGAAAUCGCUACAGUCUGCGAAAUUCGAGGUUGAUGGGAGAGGAAGAACCGUUAAAUGCCCAGUCAGCGCCCAAGUAUUCCAAACAACUCCAGAGACUGAUCAGGGCCAGGGGCUAUGUGCCUCAACAGGUCUUCAACGCCGAGGAGAUGAGCCUGUUUUGGAAGUGCAUGCCCUCACGUACUUUUAGGGAAAAAGACAAAAAUCCCGAAAGCUUAGAGGAAGCCAAGGACAGGAUUUCCCUCAUUUUUUGUGCCAACGCUGCCGGUGACAAAAUGAUAAAACCCUUGCUGCUUUAUAAAGACCCUAAUCCCACUUGUCUUUUGGAAAAAGAUAAAAACCGCCUUCCUGUGUUCUGGCGAUCACACCCCAAAGUAUCACUAACCACUGCCCUCUUCUUGGAUUGGUUUCAUAAUUGUUUUAUCCAUCAGGCCCGGACUUACUUAAUAGAAAAAAAUCUUGAGUUCAGAGUGUUGCUGAUUCUGGACAGAGGUCCCAAUCACCCAGACUCAUUAUUCUUUGCUCAUCCUAACGUUGAUAUUGUGUUCCUCCCUCUGGAAGGCACUAGCUAUCUUCAGCCCUUGGAUCAGGGUAUAAUUGAAGCAUUCAGGAGGUAUUACACCAAGCAUAUGUUUGACCACUUUGCUGACUGUAUUGAAAAGAACCCUUGUCUUACUUUAAAAGAAACAUGGCAACAGUACAGCAUUGCCGAUGCGUUGGUAGUGAUAAAAGAGGCAAUGGAUGAUAUAAAACCGGCUGCUCUUAAUAAAGCCUGGUGGAAACUUUGGGAUGAUGUUGUGAAUGAUUUUGCAUGUUUCCCUAGAGCUAACGAAGAAGUUGCGAAAAUCAUAGAGUCUGCAAAACGGAUGGACUUUAAAUUCUUUGACAUUGAAGAGAGUGAAAUUAACGAACUGCUCAAGUUUCAAGCUUUGGCCAUUACUGAGAGAGAGUCUGUAUCAGUAAAUACGGAAGAAGACAAGUCCCCAGAACCAGAGGUUAAGAUGAAUCUAAGGAAACUGAAUGCUGUCUUACGUCAGGCUUCAGACCUCAUUGAUGCUGCAAUUGAUAUGGAUCCAUUCCUCGACCGAAGUUUGGCCUUUAAAAAAGACUUCAAUAAAUUGUUAUAUACCUAUAAAGAGGUGCAAAAGAACCUUCAGAAUAAAGCAAAGGAGUUGAAGGAAGAAAAAGACACGAACAAAGAGGUAGUGUGGAUGAAGACGAUGGAUACAGAAUCGGAGUCUGAAGGGGAGUCUGAAUCUGAAUCCGAGUCGAAAUCUGAAUCCGAGUCAAAAUCCGAAUCUGAAUCCCAUAAAGAGGAGAAGGUAGAGAGAAAGAAAGAGGAUAAGAAGGCUCCAGAAGAAGAUCCUGGAUCCUCAGGCAAUGGCACUGAGACUCUCACUAUAUCUGAAGAAUCUGCCAAAGCCAUAAAUGCAGAAUUGGACUUUUGGAAUCUAACCUUGGAACUGAACCUGGAGAGAGUAGACGUGCCUGAACUAAAGGAAGAAGAGAAUCCAGAGGCAUUUCUUUCCAAAUGACAGUUCAUCUCUUGCUAUUCUUCCCCUGUUGCCCCAACAUCUACCUUCAUCAUGACCAUCCUUAUCAUCACCAGCCACACAUCCAUAUCAUUUAGUCAUUCAACAAACAGUUAUUGAGUAUAAGCUCUGUGGGGUCCUGUGCUAAACUUGGGGACAUCAUCUCAGGAAAUCAUCUCAGGAUCUAAGAUCCUGACAGCUGCUUUCCUGUCAUACCCCAUGCUCAGGACCUUUAGCCUGCAGCUCCG